CAGCCGCCGCGGUAAUACGUAGGUGGCAGGCGUUGUCCGGAAUUAUUGGGCGUAAAGGGCUCGCAGGCGGUUUCUUAAGUCUGAUGUGAAAGCCCCCGGCUCAACCGGGGAGGGUCAUUGGAAACUGGGAAACUUGAGUGCAGAAGAGGAGAGUGGAAUUCCACGUGUAGCGGUGAAAUGCGUAGAGAUGUGGAAGAACACCAGUGGCGAAGGCGACUCUCUGGUCUGUAACUGACGCUGAGGAGCGAAAGCGUGGGGAGCGAACAGGAUUAGAUACCCCGGUAGUCCCUGUCUCUUAUAA
rnacentral:rRNA from 1 species